GUGGUUUUUACGUAGCGCUGUGUGUAGUGGUUUCUGGGGGGGUGUUGGGGGGUUGGUCUUUGCGGUUUGGUGUUGUGGUAGUUUGUCUGUUUUUGUACAUUGCCUUGUGCGGUGCCUUGUGCGGUGGCCUGGGCAGUACAAACGAUCGACGGCAACACUCGGGACGCAGACCCAAGCCCUUGCAGACAAUAGGACGUCUUUGCUUGCUUUGAUGAAACCAAAUCAAAAA
rnacentral:misc_RNA from 1 species